AGGCCGCACACGGAUUUGAACCAUGGACCCGUUGAUCUGCAGUCAACUGCUCUACCACUGAGCUAUACGGCC
rnacentral:tRNA from 1 species